UUUUAGUUUAUUUGUGGAGACAAAAUAAUUUUAGACCUUUUUAUUUGUCAAAUAUCUUGGGUUUGGGUCCUUGUAGAUAGGGAACUCUAAUCUUCGUUUAGUUCGGAUAUAAGCAAGAAUUAGUUAUUACAGAAAAAAGUAUAAGUUUGGGAAUAAGAAAAAAUAGCAUUUGGAUGAAAAUUGGGUUGUUUCCGAGGAUAAGAAAAAUAGCGUUUGGAUAGAUAAUAUGGAAUAAGAAAAAUAAUGAAUAGUUAUAUAUAGAAAAUGAAGGUGUUUGUUGGAAUAGUUAUACAAGCUUAUUUUAGAUACUCGAAAAUUACUAUUCUCUGAUAAAAAAUUUGUGUUUAGAUAUAAAGAGGGAUAAGGGAUUAUCCCUCUCCUUAUCCCUAAUCCAAACGCUACU
rnacentral:lncRNA from 1 species